rnacentral:rRNA from 1 species
UGGGGAACCUGCCCCAUAGUCUGGGAUACCACUUGGAAACAGGUGCUAAUACCGGAUAAGAAAGCGGAUCGCAUGAUCAGCUUUUAAAAGGCGGCGUAAGCUGUCGCUAUGGGAUGGCCCCGCGGUGCAUUAGCUAGUUGGUAAGGUAAAGGCUUACCAAGGCGAUGAUGCAUAGCCGAGUUGAGAGACUGAUCGGCACAUUGGGACUGAGACACGGCCCAAACUCCUACGGGAGGCAGCAGGU